CCUUGCCGCCGGCGACCGGCGCACGGGUGAGUAACGCGUAUGCGACCUGCCCGUUGCAGGGGGAUAAUCGGGAGAAAUCCCGUCUAAUACCGCGUAACGCCGCGGGGCUGCAUGGCCCUGCGGCCAAAGGGAGCGAUUCCGGCAACGGAUGGGCAUGCGUGACAUUAGCUAGUUGGCGGGGCAACGGCCCACCAAGGCGACGAUGUCUAGGGGUUCUGAGAGGAAGGUCCCCCACACUGGUACUGAGACACGGACCAGACUCCUACGGGAGGCAGCAGUGAGGAAUAUUGGUCAAUGGGCGCGAGCCUGAACCAGCCAAGUCGCGUGAGGGAUGACGGCCCUACGGGUUGUAAACCUCUUUUGUCGGGGAGCAAAUUCCGCCACGUGUGGCGGAGUCGAGAGUACCCGAAGAAAAAGCAUCGGCUAACUCCGUGCCAGCAGCCGCGGUAAUACGGAGGAUGCGAGCGUUAUCCGGAUUUAUUGGGUUUAAAGGGUGCGUAGGCGGACUGUCAAGUCAGCGGUAAAAUACGGGGGCUCAACCUCCGCCCGCCGUUGAAACUGACGGUCUUGAGUGGGCGAGAAGUAUGCGGAAUGCGUGGUGUAGCGGUGAAAUGCAUAGAUAUCACGCAGAACUCCGAUUGCGAAGGCAGCAUACCGGCGCCCAACUGACGCUGAAGCACGAAAGCGUGGGUAUCGAACAGGAUUAGAUACCCUGGUAGUCCACGCAGUAAACGAUGAAUACUAGCUGUCC
rnacentral:rRNA from 1 species